rnacentral:lncRNA from 1 species
GACUGGUUCUUCUGCCUUGCCUUACUGGGCUCUUGGAAGUCAUUUCACUUCUUGAGCCUCUGUAGUUUUUCUUUAAUCUGAUGGUCUAGUUAUGGUGGGGAUUUUGCACAAGAUGAGGACCUUUGGUUUGGAUGAUCUGGUCACACAUGAAGAUUGAUCCACCAAAAAAAAAAAACUUAGCUAAAAUUGUGGCAGGAGAUAGAGAGCUGGUGAAGAAACACAAGUGUUGACACAGAGCAUUGGACCAUGGAACCAUCAUGGGUUCCCUAAAGUGCUAGGCUUAGAUUGACUUUCUGUGGUCCCAUCUUGACCACAUGUUGGUAGAGGUUGCUGCUUCAGGAAAAUGAAAGUAUAUGAUCAUGAUUUCCCUGACACCAACUUUGAAAAAAAAAAAUGUCUGAAGGUGACAGAAAAGUUGAUAGACUAGCACUAUGGGAUUCCUUAGACCUCUCACCCAGAGCCCCAACCUCAGUACCCCCCCCCCUCAACACUGAGAUGGUUGGAAGAUAAAGUAUCAUGGUGUCUACAGCUUUUAGGUGGUUCAGCCAAAGAUAACAUUGUAUAUCUCUCAUGAAAAGUGCAUUCUCUUACAUAGUAAUGGUAAUUAUUGUCACACCUAAGAAACUUAGCAUAAGAAUAUCUAAUAUAAUAAUAUAAUCUGUAUAAAGAAUUCCCCAAGUGUCCCUAAAAUGUCCUACUGAACUUGUUUGUGAAUCUAAGAUGCCAUCCAAGAUCACACCCCACACCUGCUUGUCUUGUUGUUCCCUGACCCCCCUAAUUGAGGGCAUCUCCCUCACUGUGUUUGUGUCUCUUGAUAAUUGAUAUUUUUGAGGACCCCAGGCCCGUAGUCUUGUAGAAUGCCUAUGAUCUGCUGUCGUCUGCUUGUUCCCUCGGCUUGAGGAACUGUCGACAAGAAAAUGAUGUAGUUGAUGUUGUUUAGCCCUGAUUUAUGCAUUUGAUGUUUGUCUCUCUGGGGACCUCUGUGGUUACUGCUUUGUUGUGAAUAAAUAAGACAUA